rnacentral:tRNA from 1 species
GGUCUCGUACCCGAAUUGGCAUAGGGGCUGCGCUAAGGACGCAGUUUUUGAGAGUUCGAGUCUCUCCGAGACUA